rnacentral:rRNA from 1 species
UGCAAGUCGAGCGAAUGGAUUGAGAGCUUGCUCUCAAGAAGUUAGCGGCGGACGGGUGAGUAACACGUGGGUAACCUGCCCAUAAGACUGGGAUAACUCCGGGAAACCGGGGCUAAUACCGGAUAAUAUUUUGAACUGCAUGGUUCGAAAUUGAAAGGCGGCUUCGGCUGUCACUUAUGGAUGGACCCGCGUCGCAUUAGCUAGUUGGUGAGGUAACGGCUCACCAAGGCAACGAUGCGUAGCCGACCUGAGAGGGUGAUCGGCCACACUGGGACUGAGACACGGCCCAGACUCCUACGGGAGGCAGCAGUAGGGAAUCUUCCGCAAUGGACGAAAGUCUGACGGAGCAACGCCGCGUGAGUGAUGAAGGCUUUCGGGUCGUAAAACUCUGUUGUUAGGGAAGAACAAGUGCUAGUUGAAUAAGCUGGCACCUUGACGGUACCUAACCAGAAAGCCACGGCUAACUACGUGCCAGCAGCCGCGGUAAUACGUAGGUGGCAAGCGUUAUCCGGAAUUAUUGGGCGUAAAGCGCGCGCAGGUGGUUUCUUAAGUCUGAUGUGAAAGCCCACGGCUCAACCGUGGAGGGUCAUUGGAAACUGGGAGACUUGAGUGCA